rnacentral:lncRNA from 1 species
GUUCUGGAGGCUGGGAUGUCCAAGGUGAAGGUGCCGGCAGCUCUGAUGUCUGAAGGUGAACAUGGUGAUGGGAGAUGUAGUAGCUGUCCAGACCUCAUGAUGGAAGCUGCAUUUUGAGGAUGGCUAAGCAACAUGAUUGAAGAUGUCUGAGUCCCUGAUACUAUGGAGCAUCAACAACAGCUUUGGACCACUAAUACUCUCAGAUUCAUAUGUCAAAGAGAAAUAAACUUUUAUCUUGUUUCAUUUACUAUUAUUUUGAUCUUUGUUAACAGUGACCAGAUUUAUAUUCAACUGAAUAAAGGUAACAUCUAAGCAGUGCCUGAAAUAAAUGAGGAAUCAUGAGGUUUUAUGGACAAAAUCAUUCCCAUUAAGGGAAUAGCAAAAGCAAAGGCCCUCGAAUGAAUAAUGCUUACGAAGUUUCAAUUAUAGCAAAGAAGCCAG